GAUAAGGAAUCGUUUACGAAAUUAGUGGAUAAAUUUAAUGCUUUGACUGGCCAUUGCUUUGAUGGAUGUUAUGCACUCCAAGCAAUAAUGGAUCUUCAAGAAUUCUUACCGAGAGAGGAUGAUGAUACAUGUCAUGACGCUGUUAAAAUGGUUGAUUAUGCAAAUGAGGCAUGGAAGGGAAAUCUUGGGCAUGUAUGUUGAAGCAUAUAUCUUGCUAUAACUUUGGG